ACGUAGGGUGCGAGCGUUAAUCGGAAUUACUGGGCGUAAAGCGUGCGUAGGCGGCCGUUUAAGUCAGAUGUGAAAGCCCCGGGCUCAACUUGGGAAUUGCGUUUGAUACUGGACGGCUAGAGACCGAUAGAGGAAGGUGGAAUUCCGCAUGUAGUGGUGAAAUGCGUAGAUAUGCGGAAGAACACUAAUGGCGAAGGCAUCCUUCUGGGUCGGUACUGACGCUGAGGUACGAAAGCGUGGGUAGCAAACAGG
rnacentral:rRNA from 1 species